UGAUUUCAUCAUUACUAUUAAGAAGGUAUGGGUCUUAUACUGAUCUGGCAUUGCAAGGUCUCAGGAUCAGUAUUGGCUUCCCUUGCCUCCAGCUGAGUUAGCUUGUUUGCAAUUGGCAAGUGGCUGGGUGACUAGUGCCUCACCUCUUUCAGCAGCAGGUCUCCACCUCCAAGAAAAAUUUUAGGAUGCUGAUACCUUUGCUACAACCUUCCACUAUUUCUCUGUGUGAGGAAAACUGGUGUUAUCAACCUCAGGACCCAGAGACACAAUGGAGAGUGUACUAUUGUAAAAGGAUAAAGCAACUCUGGAGUCAAAUGAAACCACUGUGGAAAUAAAAAGGGUCAGACUACAAUCCUAAAGCUUAUAUGAGGUUCUACUUCAUGAAGAAAGAAUUGCAUUUAAUGUUGAGUUUACUGAAACCUACCUUGUUUGGGACACUUCGGAGCAUCAAAACAAACUUUGCUAUGAAGAAAAAUAAAUAUGCCGUAUAUUCAUUAUGAUGUAGUAGA
rnacentral:lncRNA from 1 species